GUCCAAAAUCAGUUGCAGCGAUAACCCAAAAUGUUCCAGAAAUUUUUUCUAUUUGCUUGCGUCUUGGCUGUGAUGGCCGUCGUCUACACCAACUCGGCACCCACUGAAGAUGAACCCUCUAAUUCCGACGAGCCGGGAGACCAGUUCUUGUUCUACUGUCGCUUGUUCAGUUCUUGCAGCAACAGCACCCAGUGCUCGAGCAAUGUGAUCUACAAGACCUGCAACGGUGGCCGUUGCUGUAGAGGUUAAACAUUAUGAGGUGUAACCUACCGUGGUAACGCAUAUACGGACCACUUCUAAGAAAAAUUAUUCUUCCUUAUAUUAUCAUUCCCUUUUAUAUCCCAAGUUUUAUUCAUUGAGUUCUAUCAAGACUUGUCAUGGCCGUCUCUUUUGUAAGAAUCUCAGUUAAACGAAAAAAUACACUUUACAUUAU